GCGACACGUCACGGUGGGUGGUAGUUGUGCGUUUUCUUUGUGACCUGCGGUGUAGCGCUGUGUGUUUGUGCGGCCGACGAACGAUUGACAUUGAUGUCUGUAGCCUACAGGAUCUAUUUGUGACAGAAAGCGCAUGCCGUCGGCUCCAACAGCUUCCUGAAGAAUACUGCUGACGAGAGACGCCGCCAUGCUGCUCCGGUUGGCGGCCGUCGUGCUAACCGCCGCUCUGGGACUACGCCCACCGUCU